rnacentral:rRNA from 1 species
GGGGUACACGAGUGGCGAACGGGUGAGUAACACGUGGGUGACCUGCCCUGCACUUCGGGAUAAGCCUGGGAAACUGGGUCUAAUACCGGAUAGGACCGCACCGUGAGGGUGUGGUGGAAAGUUUUUUCGGUGUGGGAUGGGCCCGCGGCCUAUCAGCUUGUUGGUGGGGUAAUGGCCUACCAAGGCGGCGACGGGUAGCCGGCCUGAGAGGGUGGACGGCCACAUUGGGACUGAGACACGGCCCAGACUCC